rnacentral:rRNA from 1 species
UGCAUAUCUCAAAAGCGGAGGAAAAGAAACCAACAGGGAUUGCCUUAGUACGGCGAGUGAAGCGGCAAAAGCUCAAAUUUGAAAUCUGGCACCUUCGGUGUCCGAGUUGUAAUUUGAAGAAGGUAACUUUGGAGUUAGCUCUUGUCUAUGUUCCUUGGAACAGGACGUCACAGAGGGUGAGAAUCCCGUGCGAUGAGAUGUCUAACUCUAUGUAAAGUGCUUUCGAAGAGUCGAGUUGUUUGGGAAUGCAGCUCUAAGUGGGUGGUAAAUUCCAUCUAAAGCUAAAUAUUGGCGAGAGACCGAUAGCGAACAAGUACAGUGAUGGAAAGAUGAAAAGAACUUUGAAAAGAGAGUGAAAAAGUACGUGAAAUUGUUGAAAGGGAAGGGUUUGAGAUCAGACUUGGUAUUUUGUAUGUCUUGCUUUCGGGUGGGGCCUCUGCAGUUUACUGGGCCAGCAUCGGUUUGGAUGGUAGGAUAAUGACAUUGGAAUGUGGCACUACUUCGGUGGUGUGUUAUAGACUUUGUUGAUACUGCCUGUCUAGACCGAGGACUGCGUCUUUGACUAGGAUGCUGGCAUAAUGAUCCUAAACCGCCCGUCUUGAAACACGAACCA